UCUGCAUAGGCGAAAGCCUGACAGGGUUACUCUGAGUGAUUCCCGCUAAGGGGAUCUUUUGGCACCUCUAAAAAUGGUGCAGAAUAAGGGGUGGGCAAGCCUGGUGUCAGCCGCCGCGGUAAUACCAGCACCCCGAGUGGUCGGGACGAUUAUUGGGCCUAAAGCAUCCGUAGCCGGCCACGCAAGUCCUCCGUUAAAUCCACCCGCUCAACGGUUGGGCUGCGGAGGAUACUACGUGGCUAGGAGGCGGGAGAGGCAAGCGGUACUCAAUGGGUAGGGGUAAAAUCCUUUGAUCCAUUGAAGACCACCAGUGGCGAAGGCGGCUUGCCAGAACGCGCUCGACGGUGAGGGAUGAAAGCUGGGGGAGCAAACCGGAUUAGAUACCCGGGUAGUCCCAGCUGUAAACGAUGCAGACUCGGUGAUGGGAUGGCCUCGAGCCAUCCCAGUGCCGCAGGGAAGCCGUUAAGUCUGCCGCCUGGGGAGUACGGUCGCAAGACUGAAACUUAAA
rnacentral:rRNA from 2 species